rnacentral:lncRNA from 1 species
GCGCCGUCUCCUCGGCCUGCGCUGCCGCCGCUCGUGGUCCGGGUCGCGCUCCUUCCGCUCCGCCGCCUGCUUGCGAGUGCUGCCGGGCAGGCCGCCAUGGCGAACGUGGCCGACACGAAGCUGUACGACAUCCUGGGCGUCCCUCCCGGCGCCAGCGAGAACGAGCUGAAGAAGGUACUGGAGCGAGCCGGCCGGCGGGCGGGGCGAGGGCGCGGGGCCUGCGCGGUCGGGGCGGCCUGAACCGGGCUGAGGCGCGGUGGCGGCGGGGGCGCAGUCGGCUCUGGCUGACCUUGGGCCUCCGCCCGCCGGCCCUGCGCAGAAGCGGCCCGCCACCUCGGCGCCCCGGGCCACCCGGAAAAACAGGUCGAACCGCGGUGCUCGCGCCGCCGGGCCGGGGAGGAGCUGACCGCCGGCGCCGGUGUGGGGCUGAGGGCCGCAGCCUCCGGCGCUGAACAGGCUCCUCCCUCUGCCUUCCUCGCCGGGCAGCCGGAAUAGCUUGGGUCUGUUUAGAAGCAUUGUUCUUGGGCUGGAGCUCUAAAUACCCCGUGGCCGCUUCAGGGAUAAGUCGUCGUGUGUCCCAGCCAAACACCUGCGUGUGCACUCACUAAAAAUAAGACAGGUCUCAUUGUUGUCCUUUGUACAAAAUCAUCUCGGGACUUAAGCUAUUAGUAAAGUCCGCAUCUACUAUGGCUGUCGGCAUCAAAUCUGUAAACUGAGAAAAAUAAGAAUGUCCCGUAAGUAUUGGGACUGGUGAAGUCCAAAGAAAAAGACUUCCUGUUGCCCUACCGGAAAUGGUAGGCUGUGUUAUAUAAUUCAUGAGUCUGUGUAAAGACUUACAUGGUGCUUACCUACAUCACUUAAUUGAGAGUAUGUAGCUUCACCACCAGGUAGGACCCCAGUUAGCCGGCCAAGUGCUAAUAAAACAUCACUUAGGACCGCCUGCUGUUUUCCUGUUGGAGGGCAGGCCGAGGAGCCAGCCAGCAUGGGGAGAGAUACUUAGUAGAAGUAUCAUUUGCUUAAUUUGUAGGAGUGCUAGGGUUUCUGUAAAAUGUAGCGCUCAAUCUACAAUCUGUUUAUUGUGGUCUUUUUGGUCUGGUUACUGGUCAUCAAAGAUAUUUGAUAAUAUUUUUAAAAAAAAAAACAAGAAAUAAU